rnacentral:rRNA from 1 species
GACGAACGCUGGCGGCGUGCUUAACACAUGCAAGUCGAACGGAAAGGCCCUGCUUUUGUGGGGUGCUCGAGUGGCGAACGGGUGAGUAACACGUGAGUAACCUGCCCUUGACUUUGGGAUAACUUCAGGAAACUGGGGCUAAUACCGGAUAGGAGCUCCUGCUGCAUGGUGGGGGUUGGAAAGUUUCGGCGGUUGGGGAUGGACUCGCGGCUUAUCAGCUUGUUGGUGGGGUAGUGGCUUACCAAGGCUUUGACGGGUAGCCGGCCUGAGAGGGUGACCGGGCACAAUGGGACUAAGAGACGGCCCAGACUGCUACGGGAGGCAGCAGUGGGGAAUAUUGCACAAUGGGCGGAAGCCAGAUGCAGCAACGCCGCGUGCGGGAAGACGGCCUUCGGGUUGUAAACCGCUUUCGCCUGUGACAAAGCGUGAGUGACGGUAAUGGGUAAAGAAGCACCGGCUAACUACGUG